rnacentral:rRNA from 1 species
GUUGAACGGCCACAUUGGGACUGAGACACGGCCCAGACUCCUACGGGAGGCAGCAGUGGGGAAUAUUGCACAAUGGGGGAAACCCUGAUGCAGCGACGCCGCGUGGAGGAAGAAGGUCUUCGGAUUGUAAACUCCUGUUGUUGGGGAAGAUAAUGACGGUACCCAACAAGGAAGUGACGGCUAACUACGUGCCAGCAGCCGCGGUAAAACGUAGGUCACAAGCGUUGUCCGGAAUUACUGGGUGUAAAGGGAGCGCAGGCGGGAAGACAAGUUGGAAGUGAAAUCUAUGGGCUCAACCCAUAAACUGCUUUCAAAACUGUUUUUCUUGAGUAGUGCAGAGGUAGGCGGAAUUCCCGGUGUAGCGGUGGAAUGCGUAGAUAUCGGGAGGAACACCAGUGGCGAAGGCGGCCUACUGGGCACCAACUGACGCUGAGGCUCGAAAGUGUGGGUAGCAAACAGGAUUAGAUACCCUGGUAGUCCACACCGUAAACGAUGAUUACUAGGUGUUGGAGGAUUGACCCCUUCAGUGCCGCAGUUAACACAAUAAGUAAUCCACCUGGGGAGUACGACCGCAAGGUUGAAACUCAAAGGAAUUGACGGGGGCCCGCACAAGCAGUGGAGUAUGUGGUUUAAUUCGACGCAACGCGAAGAACCUUACCAAGUCUUGACAUCCCUUGACAGACAUAGAAAUAUGUAUUCUCUUCGGAGCAAGGAGACAGGUGGUGCAUGGUUGUCGUCAGCUCGUGUCGUGAGAUGUUGGGUUAAGUCCCGCAACGAGCGCAACCCUUAUGGUCAGUUACUACGCAAGAGGACUCUGGCCAGACUGCCGUUGACAAAACGGAGGAAGGUGGGGAUGACGUCAAAUCAUCAUGCCCUUUAUGACUUGGGCUACACACGUACUACAAUGGCGUUAAACAAAGAGAAGCAAGACCGCGAGGUGGAGCAAAACUCAGAAACAACGUCCCAGUUCGGACUGCAGGCUGCAACUCGCCUGCACGAAGUCGGAAUUGCUAGUAAUCGUGGAUCAGCAUGCCACGGUGAAUACGUUCCCGGGCCUUGUACACACCGCCCGUCACACCAUGAGAGCCGGGGGGACCCGAAGUCGGUAGUCUAACCGCAAGGAGGACGCCGCCGAAGGUAAAACUGGUGAUUGGGGUGAAGUCGUAACAAGGUAGCCGUAGGAGAACCUGCGGCUG